UACAGGGGGGGCAAGCGUUGUUCGGAAUUACUGGGCGUAAAGGGCUCGUAGGUGGCCAACUAAGUCAGACGUGAAAUCCCUCAGCUUAACUGGGGAACUGCGUCUGAUACUGGAUGGCUUGAGUUUGGGAGAGGGACGCGGAAUUCCAGGUGUAGCGGUGAAAUGCGUAGAUAUCUGGAGGAACACCGGUGGCGAAGGCGGCGUCCUGGACCAGCACUGACACUGAUGAGCGAAAGCCAGGGGAGCAAACGGG
rnacentral:rRNA from 1 species